rnacentral:lncRNA from 1 species
UUUUUUUGAUUCCGAGGACGGAAUCCCUAUAAGGAGGGUAGAUUGUAAUGACCCGGAUUUUUUAAAAAUAUUUUUAUUAGUAUUAAAAGUGAUUUUUCUUUAAAGAAGGGAAUAAGAUUUAAUAUUUUAUUCCAGUUUAAGGAGUUUUCAAAAUUUUAUACUAAACCCCGGGUUAUUGUGUUAUGGAUAAAUGAUUAUAUUUUUAAAACUGAUUUUCAUAUAUUGUUUCGGAAAUUUUAGAUGAUUAUUAUGUGAAUAUAUGUGUGAUGUGAGUAAGUGGUAUUGGUGGAUUUGUUGGUUAAUUAAUUAUGGUUAAUUAUGAGUAUUAUAUGAUUAAUAUAUGAAUUUUUGUGAAUUUUAUAUUAUCUGGUUUAUUGCGUUAACUGCUCAUAUGUGUUCGUAUUUGAGAGAUUUCAAUUUCUAUAUGCUCAGGAGAAAAUAUAGUUUAUUUGGAUAUUUUCAUAUCGAUUUAUGGAAUGUUAGAUGAUUUUAUAAUCGAUUUACGGAUUUAAUUGUGUAUAUUUAUAUUUAUUUAUUAAUUAUGUGACUUCCGUAAAACCGUCCACUCGUAACGAGGUAGCAAUUUUUCUUCCCGGAAGUUUCAACAAAACUUACCUUUAGCCUAAUUUCAAUAUUCCGGACAUUUUUCGUGUUUUGACUUUUUCGAUCCGGAGUACGGUUUUCCCCGGAGUCGGUCCGGCGGAGUUUUUCGGGUAUUUUAAUUGUUGAUAAUUAUCCAGUUUGUCUCGAUAUACGUGAAAACCAGAUAUUUUGAUUAUUAUAUUAUUUCUUAUCUUGCAAUAAUUGCAAUGGGACCCGCAGACCAAUAAUUGAGUUAAAAAGCCCCGUUUUGAUGAUUAUCUCGAAAACCAGUACCGAUUGGACCCCGCUUUAUUAUAUAAAGUUACUAAAUAUGUAUUUUCAUGUCAUAAACGAUCCAAAGGGGUACCAAUUAUUUGUAAAUAUAAAUAGACCUUUCUAGAGCUUAUUUUCACCCGUAAAAUCAUUUCACCAGUUUCUUUCCACGAAUAUCGAGAGAAACCGAGCGGUGUUCUUCGUGUUCUUCGUAAUCAAACGAAGAUUUGAAGGUGUUAUUGGAAUCCGAUGGAGGCGUAUAAAUAGUCAAAACGAAGCUAUCGAUGCGUAGAAUCUAGUUUAAUCAUCCGUUUAUAUGCAGAUACAACAGGUGAUUUUAGAUUAUUUUUAUAAAAUUCGAAUUAUUUGAUUUUAAAUGAUAAAUUUUCGUAACUGAUCUUGUUUGAUUGAUUUGAUGAUGCUAUGUUGUAGAGCGUGUUUUUCUCGUCGUUUUGGUAUAUUAUAUGUUGAAUUUGGAGUUCGGAAUCAUAUAGAAAGAGGGGUUUGAUUAUUUAGUGGUGUUCUUGAAGGAUUAUGAAUGUUUCCAAUUGAAAAUUGGGGGUUUUGAUUCUAGGAAAUCUGGGCAAAUACUGAUGAUUCCAUACUGUUUGUUAGCUCGUAUAGAAUCAUUUUUAGUAAUCGGUUUAUGUGGAGGAGUCGGGAAACGAGCUCGCCGGAUUUUUAAAGUCCGGCGAUGUUCUUCGUUUCGAUUCCAUUUUCCGGCUUGUAUAUUCAUCUAUUGGGAGUUUUGAUUUCAGAAACGAGUUCCUGGGAUGAUAUUUGAUAAAUCUGGAGUGUUUCGUUGAGUUCUGGGGUCGGUGGCAACACCGGCGACUCGCCGGCGGCGAGUCUGUGGGCGGCGACGGCGAAAAUGCCGUUUAGCCCCCAAACAUUUGGAGGUGGUAAAGAUUUUGUACUUUAGUUUCAUUUCUGGCAAAUUGACCCCUGAUAUUUUUAUAAGUUACACUUUACACCCUUGCCAGAAAGUUUUAAAAACUUACAAAAUAAACCUUUUGAUUUAAUUUUCUAAAAUUGUUUUAUUUAAUUAUUUUAAAUUCCAAAAAUAGUUUUUAAUUAUUUCUUUAUGCAAAAAUAAAUUUAAAUUAGUUUAUUAAUUAAUUUUAAUUAGUAAUUAAUUAUUUUAAUUGGUCAAUUAAUUUAAAUAUUAAUUGAUUAAUUAAUUGGAUUUAAUUAAUCCUUUUUGAUUUAAAAAUUCCGAAAAAUAGUUUCGAGCUUUAAAAUAUUUUUCCAAAUUAUCUUCAAGGCUCGAUAAUUGUUUAUGAAUGAUUUCAAGUCCAACUUCAAGUAUUUGGGACUUGAUUAUGUAUCCGCAAAGUGAUUCUUGUAUCGAUUUUAAUUCCGAAAAAUGUUUAAAAAUUCCAGAAAAUUCCCGAAAAAUCAUUUUAACCCAAGACUUGAUUUAAUAUCAAUUGGGAUGGGAAACCUUAUGUGUUGUGUGUUGUCUGCUAUUGGUUGGAUGUGUUAUGUGCCGAUAGGAGAGUGGGGGAACUGUUUUGAGCAUAACUUUUGAUCCGUAAGUCGGAAUCAAGUGAAACGAAAGAGAGACAGAAGCUUAUAACGUCUAUUUUAAUAUGAUGUGACUAUAUGGCCGAGUCUAGAAGGUGAAUAAUUGUUGAUAAGUAUGCAUAAUGUGAUAAUAUGUGAUCUAAGUGCUAUUAAGUGAUGAUUAUGUGAAGUACGUGUUAGUUUUGAUAUUGUGAAGUGAUAAAUGAUUCGUAUGAUUGAUAUUGGAUAAGAAUAUAUGGAUUAUAGUUAUUGGAUUUUGUUGGUUGAUUAAUGAUUGAGAUAGGAUAAUAGGUGGAUAGUCUUAUACAUAGACGAGACGAUGUCGGAUUUUCGAUAAGGAUUUAUAUGAUAAUUGAUUGGUGAUAUGUUAUGUGGAAUAUGAUUGAUUAUAUGUUAGAGUCAAAGCAUGCUUAUGUGUUACGUGGUAUGUGAUAGGUUUAAAGAGGUAUAUAAGUGGGUAUCGAUAUACGUGAUAUGUAUAUGCGAUAUAUUGUUUAGUGACUAUAGUAUUAUCUUAUUUUCGUAAAGGAUUUGGAGGAGACGU